UAUCAGUUAAAAUUCAAAGAAGCAUGUGGUAGUCCAGAAAACAGAAUGUAGAAUUUCUUACAGAAAUGAAAAUCUCUUCACCUGUACAAAACGCUGCAGACUGAUGGAAAAUAAAAGAAUAGGUCUAAAGAUGUACGUUAGCAGGGCAUGGUUUCAGUGCCUCCCUUAUCAGUUGUAAUGUGAGCCCCUUGAUUAGAUUCAGAGCCCAGUCUGGUGCUUCAGAGCCACUUUGACCCAACAUAGGAUGAUCUGAGGCCAAACUUGACCUGGAUCCAGAACCCAGAACCGAUUUUGGAACCUUCUUGCACAAUCAUGCAGUAAGAAGGGGAGUGGAGAGGCAUGUUCAGUCAGGGUUUUAAAACCUAUUCAAGCAUGUAGACAGGAAGGGGAGGGACACGGAGGCUUGUAUCUGUUAGGAUAUUUCCGUUCCACCUUAAAAGGGAGCAGGCUUUGUGAGUCACAGAGUCUGCGUAUUUCCUGUUCACAGGAAGUUUAUGUUGUGUCUUUGCUUUUGUUCUCUCUGUGCCAGAGACACUGAAGCUGGCAGUCAUGUUUUGUUUGUUCUGACCAACGCUGAAUAAACUUGUAAAUAAUACUCUCCUGCGUGCAUCUUUCGCUGUGCAUUAUCUGCUGAUAGAGCGUGCAUCGGCUCUGGAAUGUGGCAGGCUAUUUCUGGAGCUCGUGUCGCUAAUUGCUGAUACUGUGUGUCUACAGGAGAUCGAUGGACGUCCGGAGGUGGCUUGGGGGCCAUGAUGGACUUUGUCUCCCUGGCAGUAUCCCAACAGUAUCUCCUACCCUGCAUAUUUAAUUGGGGGGGAGGAGAGAGGAAGGAGGCACAUGCAGCCGCUUGCGUGUCUCCUUGUUGCCAGCAGACUGCCCCGUUCCUGUUUUUGGCAGCCCUUGAUAGUUGAUCUGGGCUGAUACAGGGCUGCAUCAACCCAAUCCAGCCCAAUCUUGAGUUGGCCCAGUUUGGUUUGUGAUCUGGGAUUUGGCCAGAUCCAGCACACAAUCAGACCAUACUUAUUUUGGAAAGGACACCAUUCCUGAAAAAUAACAGUUAGAACCUGAGGUGAAUGUAAGAACCUGGGAAGAACCCUGCUGGAUUGAACUAAAGUUCUUUAUAGCCUAGGAUUCUGUUCUCCACAGAGGCCUUGGGAAGCCCACAGGGUCACAGGCAGGAAAUGAGGGAAACAGAAAGAAACCCUGCAGCUUAAUAUGUUGUCUUAAGGACCUUCUAUAGUAAUAUGAUAUAGCAUCCCAUCCUGUGAUUAUUAUCAGUUUGGAGUUGGAGGGAUAUCAGUGGCAGAGUGGUGGACUCAAGUCCCAGAUUUGUCCCUGGAAAAGACAGAUGGAAUCUAUACAGCUGAAGCUAUCAUGCAGCGGAAGCUACCAUUCCACAGUGCAAGUACCCAAAUGGCAACCAACACCACACACAGUGAACCAUUUUUAUUGAACCAUUAGCCUACAGAAUCAUUUUUUAAAGUGUCAGUGGUAGAACCUAUCCUCUCUGUUUUUGGCAGCAUGAAAUUCAGCCAACUCACCCUGAACCUACGGCCCCAUUGUGGCCAUAUAAUUCAGUCAUGUGGCCUCUGACCUUGCAUAAAGUAUAGUCAUUCUGACUAGUUGCCACCAAUAGCCUUAUCCUCUUUGAAUUUGUCUAAUCCCCUUUUAAAGCAAAGUUAACAGCCAUCUAAUGGUAGCAAAUUCCAGGUGGUUUGUUUUGUUCUUCAGAAAGACGAAAAUAAUUUUUAAUUAUCACCCUUCCUUAGAAGCUAUUUUUAAUGAGCUGUUUAUGAUUAAUUCCUUUGUUUCCUUUCAGAAUAGCCCAUAGUUCUAUCUCCCAUUUCUCUUAGGAGAGGAGAUGGUUUUUAAUUAUCUAUGUUUAGGGUUCCUCAUACCUAAGUUGUGGCUAUUUUUCCCCAUCUUGAGAGGAAUUCCUCCAAAUUAAACCUGACACUGAAGCCGUUUGUCAUGACAAAAAGUAAAGUCUGUCGUCUUUUAAAAUAAAGGAUCGGCCCAGAGAACAUUUGCCAUUUAGAUUUUAUAGGCGAGCUGCAACAUAUGUGCCAUUAAUUGGCUGCUAUUUGUAAAGAGAAGAAUACUUAAUUAUAAAGGUAAAAGGCUUUUGUUCUCUGUAGGGAACAAGUGUGAUUAAAUGAAUCUACCCACUCUAUUACCAUCAUACAUCAGUGUAUGAUGUGACCUUCCUUAUUAUCAGAUCGGUAAUUAAUGUUGCUCUGAGAUUAAUGUUAUUCACAAUUGGAAAAAAGCUGCUCUUAUAUACCUUCAAUUUCGCCAUCACGCAUCAAGGCUCUUUGCUUUUGCUUCCAUCUACAUGGGUUGCCUAUUGUUCACUUUAGCAAAGCAAUGUUUUUGCAGCUCUUGUGGCAGUUUUCUCUUGGGUUUCAUCUCUUCCCCAGGCACAGCAAUGAGAACCUGUGGCUUUCCAGAGGCUGUUGGGCUCCCAUCAGCCCCGGCCAGCUCCUACUGAGAGUUGUAGUCCAGUAACAUCUGGAGGGCCACAGGUGCCCCAUCCCUGCUGUGGUAGAAUUUUUCCAUAAUUCUUAAUUCCCCUAUAGAGUAUAUGCUUGGCAUGCAGAAACCCCCAGAUUCUGAGUUUCUUAAGGGAAGAUUUUGUGGAAUUUUAUGGGAGGACCAACUUCACACCUGUAAAAACUCAGAAUUCAUUUUCUAGAGUGAGGGGCCUGAAAACUCAUGUUCAUAGGAUCACAGAAGAGUAGAGUUGGAAUGGACCCCAAGGGCCAUCUAGUCCAACCCCUUGCAAUGCUGGACUAGAUUAUUCAUGACAGAUUACCAUCCAAAGCCUCUUUAGAAACCUCCAAGGAAGUAGAGUCCAUUACCUCUCAUGGGAGUCCUCUCCACAAGAAUAUCCUGGGAGACUUUGUCUAAAGCCUUACUGAAAUCAAGAUACAGCACAUCCACAGCAUUCCCUUGAUCCACCAAGUCUGUAACUUUCUCUAUAUAUGAAAGAAAUGAUGUUCAUCUGACGUGACUUGUUUUUGAGAAAACUAUGCUGGGUCUUAGUAAUCACAGCAUCCUUUUCUAAGUGCUCACAGAUGAACCAUUUAAUUAUCUGUUCUUCGUCCUUUAGUAACCUUGGAUGUAGCUCAUCAGGCCCUGGAGAUUCAAAUUCAUUUAAAGUAGCUAGGUAUUUCCUUGCCACCUCUUUUCUUAUCUUUUGCUUCAGUUCCCUCCUUGCAUCCUUUAUACUUUAAUCACCAGGUUGGGCAGUGCUUUCCUUUUGGUUGAAAGUAGACGCAAAGUAGCUCCAUCUUCUGUCUGUCACCCAAUAGCAUUUCUCCAUCUUUUCCACACAAAGGACCUACUUGCUUGUUCUUCCCCUUGUUUCAAACAUAGCCAGAGAAACCUUUUAGUUAUUAUUUUUAAUCUCUCUACAAACCUGAGUUCAUGACUUUUUUACAAGCUAUUUUUAUUAAAACUGAAAGUCAAACAAAUAAAAAAUAAUACGCCGAAGUCAACAUCAAAUACUAAGCAUUUUUAACAUGAAAACUAAAAGAGAGAAAAUGAAGAGGAGGAGGAGGAAGAAGAAGAAGAAGAAGAAGAAGAAGAAGAAGAAGAAGAAGAAGAAGAAGGAAAAGACUUCUCAUUCUCCAUCUAUCAGGUUUAAAAACUUACACAAAACUCUUACUGCAUAAUAACAUUCAACUCCUCUGUUUUCCAUAAAGCAACAUUUUUCCUUUUGGAUCAAAGUGGAAUAUAAAUAUCACCAAACAACUUUUCUUCUUCUUCUUCCUUUUCCUCCCAUAGAGCUACCUCAUUUCGACCUCCCAUUAGCAGUAGCAGAAGCAACAACAACAAUUUUUAUUAUACAGUCACAUACCCAGU